rnacentral:tRNA from 1 species
UGGGGAGUGGUCGAAUUGGUAAGACGCUUGACUCUGGAUCAAGAAGCCGCAGGUUCGAAUCCUGCCUCCCCAGCCA